AGUGGGGCAGGCCACUAGGCCAACUAAAACGUGGUCCCGAUAUCUCUGCAAGGACCCCUUGUAUCUCGGAGUGGUGGGAGCAGAGAGCUUAUGAAAAAAGAUUACAGAGUAUCUACUUAAAUGGAAGAAAAAUCUACAUUUUAAUUUAUGGCACCAGAAACAAUGUCAGUUUUCUUUGUCAAAAAUAGUCAGCAGAGGGAGCUCAACACUGCUGCUGUUCGAAAUGGCUUUACUUAUGCACUUGUCUCAUCCCAGCCACCAACAGCCACCAACAGCCCCCAGCAAUGAAGACUACCGGAGAAGAAGCCAAACUUCCUGUCCCCACAUGUUUACAAAGGAGCUUGUCCACUCCACGCCUGGCAAAAAAUGUCACAGUUCUAAGCUUAUACACUAUUGGUGGGAAUAUAAAUUAGUUCAUCUAUUGAAAAUAGUAUGGUGAUUUCUCAAAGGACUAAACACAAGUACCAUUGGACCCAGCAAUCCAUAUAGAGCUACCAAUCCAAACGGAACUACCAUUCGACCCAGGAUCUACUCAAAGGAAACCAUUGUAUUAAAAAGACAACUGCACUCCUAUGACUAUCACUGUACUAUUCACAAUAGCAAAGUAUGGAAUCAACCUAAGUGUUCAUCAACGGAUGACUGGAUAAAGGAAAUGUGGUGUAUCUAUACGAUGGAAUACUACAGAGCCAUCAAAAAGAAAGGAAACAUGUCUUUUGCAACAACAUGGAUGGAACUGGAGGCCAUUACCUUACGCGAUAACUCAGAAAUAAAAUCAAAUGCACAUGUUCUCACUUUUAA